AGUGAACGCUGGCGGUAGGCCUAACACAUGCAAGUCGAACGGCAGCACAGUAAGAGCUUGCUCUUACGGGUGGCGAGUGGCGGACGGGUGAGGAAUACAUCGGAAUCUACUUUUUCGUGGGGGAUAACGUAGGGAAACUUACGCUAAUACCGCAUACGACCUACUGGUGAAAGCAGGGGAUCUUCGGACCUUGCGCGAUUGAAUGCGCCGAUGUCGGAUUAGCUAGUUGGCGGGGUAAAGGCCCACCAAGGCGACGAUCCGUAGCUGGUCUGAGAGGAUGAUCAGCCACACUGGAACUGAGACACGGUCCAGACUCCUACGGGAGGCAGCAGUGGGGAAUAUUGGACAAUGGGCGCAAGCCUGAUCCAGCCAUACCGCGUGGGUGAAGAAGGCCUUCGGGUUGUAAAGCCCUUUUGUUGGGAAAGAAAAGCAGCAGGUUAAUACCCCGCUGUUCUGACGGUACCCAAAGAAUAAGCACCGGCUAACUUCGUG
rnacentral:rRNA from 1 species